UUUAAGUAUUAUUAUCUACUUCAUAAGGAAAAUAGUGUAGAGCUGGCUCAGAGCUCUGUCUCUCCCCGCCCCCCCCAAUCUCCAGUCAUCAGGUGGCGACCUGCUGGCCAUCUCCUGAAGUUCUACUGUAUAAUCACCUGGUGUGAAAAAAGACAAUGAGGUAUAAAUAAGGUAGCGGCCUGACACCAAGCAAAAGAAAAUUUUUAGGCUCUAGAUUAGAAAUUGUGCUGCAGGCGAGGAUGUUAAAGUGAGAAACAGUUUCAAAAAAAAAAAAGUGAUGAGGUGAGGUGCUGGAAUAAUUUAAAAUGAGAUGGGUCAAACCCUGCUAACUUUGAAGAGUAAUUGGGAUGAGAAGCUGAAAUUAGAUGGCUUUUGGUUUUUUCUACCUCUUUAAUUUCUGCGAGUAAUCUGCCAUUACCAAAGAAUUAUGUCUCUUCUUCUAAAGACGGUAUAAAUUUGAAAUAGCCGUAAAUAGCCAUUAGUCUCUGAUCUUGAUUUUUUAAUUUUUGACCCAAGAAUACAGAGCAUGGUGGAAGUCUUUGCAGCCUCCUCUCCCACUUUGUUUUCUUGUUUGCAGCCCUGAAGCUGGAGGUCAUAGACAUGCCAGUAGCCCAUCUGGGAGAGCACGGUCCUUGGGAGCGCACUUCCCCACCUCCUCGCCAGGACCUCCAUUGCCAUGUGUAUUGCCGACAUUCCACCUGCUCUGGGAAGCUGUAUUGAUGAGCUGAGAAAGGCAGCCUGAGCCUGAGGACAGCUUUGUGAUUCCCUGAGGAAAACCAGCGGCUGCCAGUGUUUCCAGAACUUGAGAACAAUAUAUAUUGGGAAGCAGUAUUGCAACAGGCUUACGGUGAUACUGCCCACUUCUGUAUAUGGAAAGAAGACGUCUUGGAGACAGAAGGUGAUUCACCUCAAAGUGAUUGUUUGGCCACGUUGGGAAUGCAGUCCACGUUUUAUGCCUCCAUGUUCUUACCGUACGGUGUGCUUUGCCAGUGGGCGUUGAUGGUCACCCCUCACGGAUUAUAA
rnacentral:lncRNA from 1 species